UGGGGAAUUUUGGACAAUGGGCGCAAGCCUGAUCCAGCCAUGCCGCGUGCGGGAAGAAGGCCUUCGGGUUGUAAACCGCUUUUGUCAGGGAAGAAAUCCUUUGAGCUAAUACCUCGGGGGGAUGACGGUACCUGAAGAAUAAGCACCGGCUAACUACGUGCCAGCAGCCGCGGUAAUACGUAGGGUGCAAGCGUUAAUCGGAAUUACUGGGCGUAAAGCGUGCGCAGGCGGUUUUGUAAGUCUGAUGUGAAAUCCCCGGGCUCAACCUGGGAACUGCAUCCAAAACUGGCAAGCUAGAGUAUGGUAGAGGGUAGUGGAAUUUCCUGUGUAGCGGUGAAAUGCGUAGAUAUGCGGAGGAACACCGAUGGCGAAGGCAAUCCCCUGGACCUGUACUGACGCUCAUGCACGAAAGCGUGGGGAGCAAACA
rnacentral:rRNA from 1 species